GACGAACGCUGGCGGCGUGCUUAACACAUGCAAGUCGAACGAGUGGCGAACGGGUGAGUAAUACGUGAGUAAGCUGCCCUCCUCUUUGGGAAAAGCCUUGGAAAAGGGGUCUAAUACCGGAUAAAGGGGGAUGGGCCCGCGGCCGAGCAGAUUGUUGGUGGGGUGAUGGCUACCAAGGCGUGACGGCUAGCCGGCCUGAGAGGGUGCCCGGCCACAUUGGGACUGAGAUACGGCCCAGACGCCUACGGGAGGCAGCAGUGGGGGAUAUUGCACAAUGGGCGAAAUCCUGAGCCAGCCAUGCCGCGUGUGUGAAGAAGGUCUUCGGAUUGUAAAGCACUUUAAGUUGGAGAGCGUUACCAACAGAAUAAGCACCGGCUAACUUCGUGCCAGCAGCCGCGGUAAUAC
rnacentral:rRNA from 1 species